UAUCAUUGACAGGAUUUGCUGGAUUUUUGUGGUAUAUUCUGGAUUGCCGCUGCUUUUCAUUCUGCUUUUGUAAAUCAAGAAUGGGCAAAGGAAAGAUUUCUCAUGCAGAUGUAGCCUGGCAUGUGUUACUUGUGGUCGUUUUGCUUUCUUUAAGGUUGUCAUAUUGUUGGAGAUUGCUGCCCGAGAGCUUAGCGAGUGGCAUCUUUACGCUUUUGCUGGAUUUAGGAUUCUACCUUAUUGCCGGUAUGCUGCAGGCCUUGAUGUAGGUUCAUACUAAAUUCGGAGCCACCUCACUUUUAUGCUCAUCCAAGAGAGGGCUGCCAGUCGCAAGGAUUAUGAGACAGAUGCUCCCGCAGGCGAUUCUUGCUUGUGCGGUUGACGAUGAAUCGAUAAUACUAUAAUGAGCAAUCACCAUGUAGUCGAUUUUACAGACGAUGGCAACAAGGUGAAUGAACAGGUUGGGUUUUAGUGCCCAUCUUAGUAGAAAAUUUGCUUACAAUUCUAUGGAGAACUUUAAUGUUUGUACCAUUUA